rfam:Coccidioides immitis H538.4 supercont1.4 genomic scaffold, whole genome shotgun sequence.
GGUCUCGUGGCCCAAUGGUAGGGCGUCGGUUUUCGGCACCGAAGAUUGCGCGUUCGAGUCGCGUCGAGAUCG